GACGAACGCUGGCGGCGUGCUUAACACAUGCAAGUCGAACGGAAAGGCCCUGCUUUUGUGGGGUGCUCGAGUGGCGAACGGGUGAGUAACACGUGAGUAACCUGCCCUUGACUUUGGGAUAACUUCAGGAAACUGGGGCUAAUACCGGAUAGGAGCUCCUGCUGCAUGGUGGGGGUUGGAAAGUUUCGGCGGUUGGGGAUGGACUCGCGGCUUAUCAGCUUGUUGGUGGGGUAGUGGCUUACCAAGGCUUUGACGGGUAGCCGGCCUGAGAGGGUGACCGGCCACAUUGGGACUGCGAUACGGCCCAGACUCCUACAGGAGGCAGCAGUGGGGAAUAUUGCACAGUGGGCGGAAGCCUGAUGCAGCAACGCCGCGUGCGGGAUGACGGCCUUCGGGUUGUAAACCGCUUUCGCCUGUGACGAAGCGUGAGUGACGGUAAUGGGUAAAGAAGCACCGGCUAACUACGUG
rnacentral:rRNA from 1 species